rnacentral:rRNA from 1 species
UACGUAGGGACCAAGCGUUGUUCGGAUUUACUGGGCGUAAAGGGCUCGUAGGCGGCCAACUAAGUCAGACGUGAAAUCCCUCGGCUUAACCGGGGAACUGCGUCUGAUACUGGAUGGCUAGAGAUUGGGAGAGGGAUGCGGAAUUCCAGGUGUAGCGGUGAAAUGCGUAGAUAUCUGGAGGAACACCGGUGGCGAAGGCGGCAUCCUGGACCAACACUGACGCUGAGGAGCGAAAGCCAGGGGAGCAAACGGG